AAUAUAGAAACUUGGUCAACUAUAUAUAUAAUAGUUAAAUUGACAUUCAAACCUAAAAUAAUCAUUUGAAUUUUUGAACAUGGUGAUGGUGAGGAAGAUCAAGUGUGGAACAUUGAUGAGGUAAAAGCAAGCUUAUGAUAUUGUUCGGCUUAAUGCUGUUAUAUCAUAAGCUUGUUUUUGCCUCAUUUAUGUUCGGAACUUGAGAUUAUAUAUAAAGGCAUAAAGACCGAAAGAGAGAAAGAAGGUAUGUAUUUAUAUUAUUCAUUAAAUGUUAUUUAUGUUUGUGGUCGAUUCAAAGAUAUAUAAUAUGGAACAAACGAGAAGGCUUUUCUUCCAGAAAUUGAGGAUCAAAGCGUUUUCAAAGCAAAUCUCUAUCUAUGAAUAUGAAUUUUAAUUUUCAACUGUGUUUCGUUUUGUGAGUGGCGUGUUGUUGGUGAGUGGAAUGUUGUUUGUGAUGUGCUGUACUUGUUAGUUUCAUUUGAAUUUAUGGGUUUUGUGUUUCUAUAUAUGUACUGUAUGGUUAGAUAUGGUUAUCAGUCAUAUUAUUUUAGCGUUUAUCAGGCAUAUGAAAUGUGACUUUUGAUGGUUUUUUUUUUUGGGUAGGGGCUCAUCUUAGCCUUAAUAUAAAUCCCGACCCUCUUGAUUCUUCUCCAACCCAUGAUUUCAUUUUAUCAUUUGUAAUAAUUACUUAUUAAUUAAGCGAUCCCACGAAUGCAUUUAAAGAGGGUAAUUCUAUCUCUUUCUCUUUGAAUCGAUUGAAUCGAAUCCACUACUCCAUUAUCUCUAGGCUAUUCCUCCAUCAUCUAGUUUAAAAUGAUUGAGGGACCCUGAUUUUGAACCAAAACUUUUAGCCUUAAUGGGUAAAUUUUUCAUAAUAUCACCAUUAACAAGCUAAGAUAAAGCUUCAUACUUGACAAUCAAUUCGUGAAGCGCCAAGCUACAGUUUUUCUUGUCAAGGUUAGAAGAAAGAGAAUUCAAGAUUUGGUAAGCUUAAACACAAAAUCAAAGCUUCAAGAGGCAAAAGAAGUUAUUUUUCAUAAUUUCUUUACGAUCCAUGAUUGUUUUUGAUUUGUAAUAAUUUUUAUAGGUAGUUUAGAAUGUGUAAUAUUAAGACUAGAGCUCUGAUCAUGCAUGGAUGCUGCUUUUGAGUUUCAUUUAUUUUGUUGGAAUUGUAAAAAUCUGUUCUUGGAUCUGACAUCCAAUGGGUUAGAUUCUAGCAUUACU